GUGGAACUCAGUCCUUCAAGUGUGUCCCUGCAACAUUUGCGGCAUUGCUGAAGUCUGGCAUCUGUUCAUCUGGAUGCGUGACAGGAAGAUGCUGAAUGCACAUCCAAGGGCGUGUGUGGACAUCCGAGGAUGAGAACAAAAGUAUGGAACGGAGACAUUUCUGCAGAGACAGAGGUGGAGAUGCCUUUUCCACCUGGGAAAGGCUUAACCAACUGACCUGAUAGCACUGCAUUAUUUAGCCCCCGUGUGCCCGCCAG